GUGAAAAGUGCUUCGGCAGUAUUAAAAGAGUGAAUAAGUUCAUGUACAUGCUAAAAGUGCCCUACACGCUUGUACCUUGGGAAACGUUCGUCUUUUUACAAAUAAGAAAUAGAAAGGAGAAGCCUUGAGAGAGGAUAAGGCUUCAAAAGAUCUUCAUUAAAAGCAAGAAAAGCAAGCCUUGUGUGGAAGAUCUCAUCUAUUUUGUUCGCUGGCUGUCUAGCUUCACAUGGUCACGUGUCGUGAGGGCAGCACAGUAAAAAGACGCCUACUCAGCGGGUUCAAGCAUACAGAGCUACUUUAAGCAACAUGAGUCUACGCUCAGGAAGAAAUUAUCUAAAAGACUACGUUGCUGAAGAGCUAGACGAAGCAACCGGUGGUGAACAGCAACCAGACAUCGCCACUCAAUCAGCUACAAUGCAGCAACAGUCUCAGCCAUUCGACACCAAGUCGCAGAAAUCCAGAACAUCGACAAGGCGGUCUCAACGGACAUCCUCAUCAACAGCUUCUGCAGCUGCAAGGGCCUACGCCAAAGCUCAAGCAGCACGAGCUCAACUGGCCUUCGCUGAAAAGGAAGCCAAUGCAAUGAAACAGAGAGCUGAACUGGAUGCUCAUCUACAUGUCCUCCAGUGCCAAAAAGCAAUAGCCGCAGCUGAAGCAGAGGCUUCAGCCUAUGAAGAAGCAGAGAUUCAGAGCGGGGAGCUCUAUGGAGAACUUUGCGAGGAAGUUGAGCCCAUCAGUGCAGUGCACCGCACUAUCGAAUAUGUUCAACAACAAUGUGAGUUACUCUACCCAGACACUCAGCACGACCCAGCACAGCUUCCUAAAGGGAAUGACAAUGAAGUAGAUGUACAAGACAGUACACAAAUAACUAAUCCUUUUAUAACCAACACUCAAACAAAAUCACCACCUGUAAACAGAGAAAGGAAACAGGAGCAAACAGUGAACACAUGUGUAGUCGACACGUACUGGUCCAACUCCACAAAGCACACCCCCAACCUUAACAACUGCUUACCUGAAGCAAGUGAAACGCAACAGUUUGCAAAAUACCUAAUUCGCAAAGAACUAGUCAGCACAGGUCUUUUGCAAUUUGAUGACAAACCUGAAAACUAUUGGGCAUGGAAAACCUCAUUCAUCAGCGCAACCAAAGACUUAAAUCUGUCUCCAAGAGAGGAAUUAGACUUGCUAACGAAAUGGUUGGGUCCAACAUCAUCCGAACAGGCUAAGCGGAUUCGUGCUGUGCACACCCUCAAUCCUGCUGCAGGUGC
ensembl:lncRNA